CCGCCAUCUCACUGUCCCCCUGCACUCCCAGUCCAACAGCAGGGUACUGAACAUUUCUGGUGCAGUUGGUCAGGAUUUUGGUGUCAGUUUUUCAACUUUUACAUUAAUUUAUAAAAUCAAAAUAAUGCGUGUCGACUGACAAAAAAUGCACAACCUAGAAGGUGAGAAUUAUGUUAUAUUCAGCGGACUUUCUAAGGACUCACGCGCCGGAAGACAGCCUCUCAGCUCGAGGGACUGCUCCUAAGAGAUGAUGAUGUGCCAACCAUUUGUCACUGGGCAGAAGCUGGUACCUGGAUGUUUCUGGUUGGAGGAUUCAGACAGCAGCAUUCCCUGCCUCCCACAACCCACUACAGGCUCCUUUGUAAUCUCUGAAUUUGCACGUGGGCGUAGAGGUGCCUCUUGAGAAAAUCCGCCCCCGCCCCAGAUUUCACAUGAAGAAGUCGCCGGAGUUGGGAGGGAUUUAGAGACAUCAAAUAAAAUAUUUCUCAGAUUCAAG
ensembl:lncRNA